rnacentral:rRNA from 1 species
UACGUAGGGCGCAAGCGUUGUCCGGAAUUAUUGGGCGUAAAGAGCUCGUAGGCGGCCUGUCGCGUCCGUCGUGAAAGCCCACGGCUCAACCGUGGGUUUGCGGUGGAUACGGGCAGGCUAGAGGCAGGUAGGGGCAAGCGGAAUUCCCGGUGUAGCGGUGAAAUGCGCAGAUAUCGGGAGGAACACCGGUGGCGAAGGCGGCUUGCUGGGCCUGUACUGACGCUGAGGAGCGAAAGCGUGGGGAGCGAACAGGAUUAGAUACCCCCGUAGUCC